rnacentral:rRNA from 1 species
AGCGAGGAAUAUUGGUCAAUGGGCGCAAGCCUGAACCAGCCAUCCCGCGUGAAGGAUGAAGGCCCUAUGGGUCGUAAACUUCUUUUAUACACCAAGAAAAAGCAGGACGUGUCCUGCCCCGACGGUAGUGUAUGAAUAAGCAUCGGCUAACUCCGUGCCAGCAGCCGCGGUAAUACGGAGGAUGCGAGCGUUAUCCGGAUUCAUUGGGUUUAAAGGGUGCGUAGGCGGCUUUUUAAGUCAGUGGUGAAAUCCUGUCGCUUAACGAUAGAAUUGCCAUUGAUACUGAAGAGCUUGAGUACAAUUGAGGUAAGCGGAAUGUGUAGUGUAGCGGUGAAAUGCUUAGAUAUUACACAGAACACCGAUUGCGAAGGCAGCUUACUAAACUGUUACUGACGCUGAUGCACGAAAGCGUGGGGAGCGAACAGGAUUAGAUACCCUGGUAGUCCACGCCGUAAACGAUGAUCACUCGCUGUAUGCGAUACACAGUAUGCGGCCAAGCGAAAGCAUUAAGUGAUCCACCUGGGGAGUACGAUCGCAAGGUUGAAACUCAAAGGAAUUGACGGGGGCCCGCACAAGCGGAGGAACAUGUGGUUUAAUUCGAUGAUACGCGAGGAACCUUACCUGGGCUUAAAUGGGGAACGACAGCAGCCGAAAGGUUGCCUUCUUCGGACGUUCUUCAAGGUGCUGCAUGGUUGUCGUCAGCUCGUGCCGUGAGGUGUCGGGUUAAGUCCCAUAACGAGCGCAACCCUUAUCGUUAGUUGCCAGCGGGUGAUGCCGGGGACUCUAGCGAGACUGCCACCGUAAGGUGUGAGGAAGGUGGGGAUGACGUCAAAUCAGCACGGCCCUUAUGUCCAGGGCUACACACGUGUUACAAUGGCAAGUACAAAGGGCAGCUACCUGGUGACAGGAUGCUAAUCUCUAAAGCUUGUCUCAGUUCGGAUCGAAGUCUGCAACCCGACUUCGUGAAGCUGGAUUCGCUAGUAAUCGCAUAUCAGCCAUGAUGCGGUGAAUACGUUCCCGGGCCUUGUACACACCGCCCGUCAAACAAUGGAAGCUGGGGGUACCUGAAGUCUGUAACCGCGAGGAGCGGCCUAGGGUAAAACUAGUAACUGGUGUU